GCUGCUGGGACGCGGGGUGGGUGAAGCUGGUGCCGAGUCCCCUCCCGGGUGACCCCCGAAGGGCGCUAGUCGGCAGCCGUCGCGUCUGGCCGGCCUGGUGGUCCGUCUUGUAGGGAGACAAAGGCUGGCUAAGCGGGCGGAGCGGGACUGUGGCGGCCGGACGCCUGCGGAGGGGCCGGGAAGCGCGCGUGAGGCGGCUGAGUGUGGAGUCAUUGUCCGCUCGGAAAGCCUCUUGCGGGCUGAAGCCGCCCAGCACGGCGCAGCCGGGUGGAACCAGUCGGCUUCAUCCUAGCAGCGGGGUCAUAGGCACGUCAAUGUCUCUAGACUUGAGUCUUUGAUCUAUAAUAUGAGGUGGUUCAAGUAGAUGGAUUCUAAGGUGCAGGAGCUAUUUCGGGGAAGCACGGAUGCCUUGCUGUGGGGAGGCGCAGACAGCACGCACUGGGGGACAGCCCGACUCCAUUCCUUCUCCUCCAUUCUCUAAGAUGAUCACAACCAAGGUGCAGAAAAUGCAUUUGAAAAAAAUCCAAAAUCCAAAAUUCAACCUCAAAUGGACCUUGAAAUACAAUCAAGAAUGUCCAUGGUCACAUCAACUAUAACAGUCCCAAACUGGAAACAACCUAAGGGUCCAUAAACAGGUAAAAAAAUUUUUGAUAUAUUUAUACAAUGAAAUAUAUAUAGCAAUGAAAAUGAAUGAAUCAUCAGUAAUGUGGCAAUAGACUAUACUUUUUUUUUUUUAGUGGUUUAAAACAACACCCAUUUAUUACCUCACAGUUCUGUAAGUUU